AUUGAACGCUGGCGGCAGGCCUAACACAUGCAAGUCGAGCGAGCGGCGGACGGUUGAGUAAUGUCUGGGAAACUGCCUGAUGGAGGGGGAUAACUACUGGAAACGGUAGCUAAUACCGCAUACUAUCGGAUGAACCCAUAUGGGAUUAGCUCGUAGGUGGGGUAAAGGCUCACCUAGGCGCCGAUCUCUAGCUGGUCUGAGAGGAUGAUCAGCCACACUGGGACUGAGACACGGCCCAGACUCCUACGGUAGUCAGCAGUGGGGAAUAUUGCACAAUGGGCGCAAGCCGGGUGCAGCCAUGCCGCGUGUAUGAAGAAGGCCUUAGGGUUGUAAAGUACUGUCAGCGGGGAGGCGUUACCCGCAGAAGAAGCACCGGCUAACUCCGUGCCAGCAGCCGCGGUAAUUC
rnacentral:rRNA from 1 species